AUAUUGUCAAAAGAGACUAAUUUCUUAAAAAUGAAAAUUCUCUCCUCAGUUUACAAUACACCAAACAGGAGCUCAGGGUUGCUGUGUGGAGGGGCACAGAACUCAUGCCCUUCCUGUGAGCAGACACCCUACAUAU